rnacentral:misc_RNA from 1 species
AAGUCGUAACAAGGUUUCCGUAGGUGAACCUGCGGAAGGAUCAUUAAAUGAAGCAACCCAGGAGCCUGAGAUAUGGCCACCGGGCACACCUUCCACCCUUUGUUUAUCACACUUUGUUGCUUUGGCAGGCCUGCCUCCGGGCUGCUGGCUCCGGCCGGCGAGCGCUUGCCAGAGGACCCAAACUCUGUUUGUCUGUAACGUCUGAGUAAAACCAUAAAUAAAUCAAAACUUUCAACAACGGAUCUCUUGGUUCUG